CAGUAGCCACGGGAAUACGGAGGGGGCUAGCGUUGUUCGGAAUUACUGGGCGUAAAGCGUACGUAGGCGGCUUUGUAAGUUAGAGGUGAAAGCCUGGUGCUCAACACCAGAACUGCCUUUAAGACUGCAUCGCUUGAACGUCGGAGAGGUGAGUGGAAUUCCGAGUGUAGGGGUGAAAUUCGUAGAUAUUAGGAAGAACACCGGUGGCGAAGGCGGCGACCUGGUCCUUGACUGGCGCUGGGGCGCGAAAGCGUGGGGAGCAAACAGGAUUAGAGACCCCUGUAGUCCCUGUCUCUUAUAC
rnacentral:rRNA from 1 species